CAGAAGGAAGUCACUUGUUCUCAUCGCUGUCUCUAGACACGAGUGACUUGCCACAAGUGGCUCUCGGUAGAGCGAGCUCUCCACCACUCCGUAUUCUGAUGAGAGGACCUCCGGUCAUGUCCUCGGACUUACCCUGUGAUAUGAUUAAUAGCAGGUCUGGUGGAGUCACACGGAGUAACAGCCAGACUGUGCCUCUCGCCCAGGGAAAGAGCCCAGCACUGGGGAAAGAGAGGCUCACCCCAAAGGAAGGACCUCACUCCCUGGAGCUGGAGAAAGGGGGCGGCUGGACCUGAGGAUCAUUUUGCACCCCCCAGGCCGGGAAGGAGAUGAUUUUGGAGGGGUCUGGACCAGCCCAGGGCUUUGCCAGCAAUACUCCACGGAGUCCUCGUGCCAUCCUCUCCUGUAACCAGCCCCACGACACCUGUGUCUGUCUGUGUGGUGGACCUCAGAUUCUGUGUGCAGGCAGGGCUCUUCUGCUCCUGGGAUUCUGUAGAAACCGACUGGAUUAAGUGACCCCAAAUUCCCCGUUAGCCCCUUCUACUCACCUGGAUCUCACUCCCCACUAAAGAACCAAUU